rnacentral:lncRNA from 1 species
GAACCAAUAGUCUUUGCUGAUCCGCUGUUUUCUCUAGCUCCCACGAGUCUUUAGCUGCACCGACCGAUCUCGAUCAUGGAGGAUGAGAGGAGCACCCAGUCAUACCAGGGAGCUGAGGCCGAUCAGGUGGAGGUGACGGACAGGGGCCUACUCGGCAACCUCCUCGGCAAGAAGAAGGAGGAGGAGGACAAGAAGGAGGAAGAGCUGGUCACCGGCAUGGAGAAGGUCUCCGUGGAAGAGCCCGAGGUUAAGGAGGAUGGCGAGAAGAAGGAGACUCUCUUCUCCAAGCUGCACCGAUCCAGCUCCAGCUCCAGCUCGGUGAGUGUAAACAUGAUUUACUAGCGCUUUGCUGUAUUAAGAUUAAGAUAUCACAUGGUUGUUGCGGUUAAUUACUGACCUCGUGUGUGAUCGUCUGUACAGUCUAGUGACGAGGAGGAGGAGGAGGAGGUCAUCGAUGAGAACGGUGAGGUGAUCAAGAGGAAGAAGAAGAAGGGUCUCAAGGAGAAGCUCAAGGAGAAGCUGCCCGGCCACAAGGACAACGAGGCUGAGCACGUGACGGGCCUACCCGCACCGAUGGCCCCCGCGUCUGUUCAGACUCACCAUGACACCGACGUCGUCGUCGAGAAGAUCGACGGCGACGCGAAGACAGAGGCCACACCGGCAGUGCCCGAGGAGGAGAAGAAAGGCUUCUUGGAAAAGAUCAAGGAGAAGCUGCCCGGCGGCCACAAGAAGCCGGAGGACGCUGCCGCGGUGCCCGUCACGCACGCUGCUCCAGCGCCAGUGCACGCGCCUGCG